rnacentral:rRNA from 1 species
GAUGAACGCUAGCUACAGGCUUAACACAUGCAAGUCGAGGGGAAACGAUAGAGAAAGCUUGCUUUUUCUAGGCGUCGACCGGCGCACGGGUGAGUAACGCGUAUCCAACCUGCCCACCACUUGGGGAUAACCUUGCGAAAGUAAGACUAAUACCCAAUGAUAUCUCUAGAAGACAUCUGAAAGGGAUUAAAGAUUUAUCGGUGAUGGAUGGGGAUGCGUCUGAUUAGCUUGUUGGCGGGGUAACGGCCCACCAAGGCGACGAGCUGUAGGGGUUCUGAGAGGAAGGUCCCCCACAUUGGAACUGAGACACGGUCCAAACUCCUACGGGAGGCAGCAGUGAGGAAUAUUGGUCAAUGGGCGAGAGCCUGAACCAGCCAAGUAGCGUGCAGGAUGACGGCCCUAUGGGUCGUAAACUGCUUUUAUAAGGGAAUAAAGUGAGUCUCGUGAGACUUUUUGCAUGUACCUUAUGAAUAAGGACCGGCUAAUUCCGUGCCAGCCGCCGCCGUAA